AUUGAACGCUGGCGGCAGGCCUAACACAUGCAAGUCGAGCGGAUGAAGGGAGCUUGCUCCUGGAUUCAGCGGCGGACGGGUGAGUAAUGCCUAGGAAUCUACCUGGUAGUGGGGGAUAACGUCCGGAAACGGGCGCUAAUACCGCAUACGUCCUGAGGGAGAAAGUGGGGGAUCUUCGGACCUCACGCUAUCAGAUGAGCCUAGGUCGGAUUAGCUAGUUGGUGGGGUAAAGGCCUACCAAGGCGACGAUCCGUAACUGGUCUGAGAGGAUGAUCAGUCACACGGGAAGUGAGACACAGUGCGGGCUCCUUCGGGAGGCAGCCGUGGGGAAUAUGGGAAGAUGGGCGAAAGACUGAUACAGCCAUGCCGCGGGUGUGAAGAAGGUCUUGGGAUUGUAAAGCACUUUAAGUUGGAAGAAAGGGCAAUAAGUUAAUACCUUGCUGGUUAGACGUUACCAACAGAAUAAGCACCGGCUAACUUCGUG
rnacentral:rRNA from 1 species